rnacentral:rRNA from 1 species
AGCGAACGCUGGCGGCAGGCCUAACACAUGCAAGUCGAACGAACCUUUCGGGGUUAGUGGCGGACGGGUGAGUAACACGUGGUAACUUGCCUUUAGGUUCGGAAUAACUCAGGGAAACUUGUGCUAAUACCGAAUGUGCCCUUCGGGGGAAAGAUUUAUCGCCUUUAGAGCGGCCCGCGGCUGAUUAGCUAGUUGGUUGAGGUAAUGGCUCACCAAGGCGACGAUCAGUAGCUGGUCUGAGAGGAUGAUCAGCCACAUUGGGACUGAGACACGGCCCAAACUCCUACGGGAGGCAGCAGUGGGGAAUAUUGCGCAAUGGGCGAAAGCCUGACGCAGCCAUGCCGCGUGAAUGAUGAAGGUCUUAGGAUUGUAAAAUUCUUUCACCGGGGACGAUAAUGACGGUACCCGGAGAAGAAGCCCCGGCUAACUUCGUG